rnacentral:rRNA from 1 species
AUGAACGCUGGCGGCGUGCCUAAUACAUGCAAGUCGAGCGAACAGACGAGGAGCUUGCUCCUCUGACGUUAGCGGCGGACGGGUGAGUAACACGUGGAUAACCUACCUAUAAGACUGGGAUAACUUCGGGAAACCGGAGCUAAUACCGGAUCAUAUAUUGAACCGCAUGGUUCAAUAGUGAAAGACGGUUUUGCUGUCACUUAUAGCUGGAUCCGCGCCGCAUUAGCUAGUUGGUAAGGUAACGGCUUACCAAGGCAACGAUGCGUAGCCGACCUGAGAGGGUGAUCGGCCACACUGGAACUGAGACACGGUCCAGACUCCUACGGGAGGCAGCAGUAGGGAAUCUUCCGCAAUGGGCGAAAGCCUGACGGAGCAACGCCGCGUGAGUGAUGAAGGUCUUCGGAUCGUAAAACUCUGUUAUUAGGGAAGAACAAAUGUGUAAGUAACUAUGCACGUCUUGACGGUACCUAAUCAGAAAGCCACGGCUAACUACGUG